rnacentral:rRNA from 1 species
GACGAACGCUGGCGGCGUGCUUAACACAUGCAAGUCGAACGGAAAGGCCCUGCUUUUGUGGGGUGCUCGAGUGGCAAACGGGUGAGUAACCCGUGAGUAACCUGCCCUGGACUUUGGGAUAACUUCAGGAAACUGGGGCUAAUACCGGAUAGGAGCUCCUGCUGCAUGGGGGGGGUUGGAAAGUUUCGGCGGUUGGGGAUGGACUCGCGGCUUAUCAGCUUGUUGGUGGGGUAGUGGCUUACCAAGGCUUUGACGGGUAGCCGGCCUGAGAGGGUGACCGGCCACAUUGGGACUGAGAUACGGCCCAGACUCCUACGGGAGGCAGCAGUGGGGAAUAUUGCACAAUGGGCGGAAGCCUGAUGCAGCAACGCCGCGUGCGGGAUGACGGCCUUCGGGUUGUAAACCGCUUUCGCCUGUGACGAAGCGUGAGUGACGGUAAUGGGUAAAGAAGCACCGGCUAACUACGUG